UAGGGAAUCUUGCUCAAUGGGCGAAAGCCUGAAGCAGCAAUGCCGCGUGAGGGAUGAAGGCCUUCGGGUUGUAAACCUCUUUCAGCGGGGACGAAUCUGACGGUACCCGCAGAAGAAGGUCCGGCUAACUACGUGCCAGCAGCCGCGGUGAUACGUAGGGACCGAGCGUUGUCCGGAUUCAUUGGGCGUAAAGAGCUCGUAGGCGGUUUGGUAAGUCAGGUGUGAAAACUGGAGGCUCAACCUCCAGCCUGCACCAGAUACUGCCAUGACUAGAGUCCGGUAGGGUAGAAUGGAAUUCCCGGUGUAGCGGUGAAAUGCGCAGAUAUCGGGAGGAACACCAGUGGCGAAGGCGGUUCUCUGGGCCGGAACUGACGCUGAGGAGCGAAAGCUAGGGGAGCAAACAG
rnacentral:rRNA from 1 species